rnacentral:rRNA from 1 species
GAUGAACGCUGGCGGCGUGCCUAAUACAUGCAAGUAGAACGCUGAAGGAAGGAGCUUGCUCUUUCCGGAUGAGUUGCGAACGGGUGAGUAACGCGUAGGUAACCUGCCUGGUAGCGGGGGAUAACUAUUGGAAACGAUAGCUAAUACCGCAUAACAGUAGAUGUUGCAUGAUAUCUACUUAAAAGGUGCAAUUGCACCACUACCAGAUGGACCUGCGUUGUAUUAGCUAGUUGGUGAGGUAACGGCUCACCAAGGCGACGAUACAUAGCCGACCUGAGAGGGUGAUCGGCCACACUGGGACUGAGACACGGCCCAGACUCCUACGGGAGGCAGCAGUAGGGAAUCUUCGGCAAUGGACGGAAGUCUGACCGAGCAACGCCGUGUGAGUGAAGAAGGUUUUCGGAUCGUAAAGCUCUGUUGUAAGAGAAGAACGAGUGUGAGAGUGGAAAGUUCACACUGUGACGGUAUCUUACCAGAAAGGGACGGCUAACUACGUG